rnacentral:rRNA from 1 species
CGGGCGGGGUGGAGGCAAUGUCUGGGAAACUGCCCGAUGGAGGGGGGUAACUACUGGAAACGGUAGCUAAUACCGCAUAACGUCGCAAGACCAAAGAGGGGGACCUUAGGGCCUCUUGCCAUCGGAUGUGCCCAGAUGGGAUUAGCUAGUAGGUGGGGUAACGGCUCACCUAGGCGACGAUCCCUAGCUGGUCUGAGAGGAUGACCAGCCACACUGGAACUGAGACACGGUCCAG